GACUUCAGAUAAUGAGUAGAAAAACUCUAAUAAACUUUGUUGAGUUUCACAUGCACCCAUAGAGCAAUCAUAGGAGAGAAAAGUAGCUAAUCAGGCUGUUUCACAUACAGAUGAAAUCUGGUAGUUAACUGAUGUGGCAAUAAUGUAUCAUCUAGAAUUUUUUCCCCAAUCUUCCAAAAUGAUAUCAUUUCAAAUGGGAUAGGACCUUCACAUCUCAAUAUUGUCUAGGCACAGUAAAUGCCAAAAAAUAACACUGGGCCCAUGAUUUUCACUUCCCUGCUCUACUUCUGGAUGCAUUUGAUCAAACCUCUGCUCCCAUAGGUCUCUUUCUGGUUCUAGCAGCUGUGUCACAGAAACCUAUUCUAUCAGCAAGGGUGCACUGCUGGAUAUUUUCUGACUGGGAUUGCAGGAAGCCAGAGGCUGUCCCAGUCUCCCUCCAGUGGAAUGGAGGUGGGGGAGAUGGGAUGACUUGUUCUCCCCCAAAGCCCUCCCACCUCAUUAGUUAGGAAACCAGAUCUGCAUGCCUCCCUCUGACCCUACAAGCUUCAUCCCUCCGAUUCCAGACACACCUGGGAAAAUUUCCUUCACAGAGUUGUCGUGGGGAUAACACAAGGUCACAUGAUGGAAGGGCAGCAGUCUACCAGUGUAGCUCUGAUUCUCUUUGCUACCCAAGACAAAACUUCAAGGUAAGCACAUUGUCUCCAUGUAUGCAGAAGCACCUGGCUUCCCUUGAUGUUGGACGUGGUAAGGAAAUUGACAUAGCAUACAUUUCCCCCCAUCAUGUCAACUCUCAUUUAUAUAUUCUAGAAGUGGAACAUCAAAAAUGUUGUUAAAAUAUAUUUUAUAAUCUCUUAGCAUGGCCUAUACAGUUGGUCUAGCACCUCAUUCUGUAAUAGAGUUUGGCAAAUUUUGACCUACUGGCCAAAUCUAGCUUGCUAACAAUUUUUUUUUUUUUUGUAUGACUGGUGUUUUAAGAAUGAUUUUUAUAAUUUUAAACAGUUGGGAAAAAAAAUCAAAAGAAAACAUUCUG
rnacentral:lncRNA from 1 species